rnacentral:lncRNA from 1 species
AAAAGAGUAAAAAGGAAAGAAAAAGGAAAGAAAAAGGGAAGAAAAUAAAGAAAAUGGUAAUAGGUAGCGCCCACCACCACAUGGCAAGGGUGGCGCCCACCACCAAUUAAAAGAGGUGGUGCCCACCUCAAGCAUAGGUGUGACGCCCACCACCAAACAAGAGUGGCGCCCGCCACCAAGCAAGGUGCGGCGCCCACUAUCUAGGGUUAUGGCACACGCCACCAAAC